ACUUGUCGGGCUUGGACACGUGCAGGACUUCCACGUUGCUGCUCUCCAUGCCCACCGCCAGCCACUCGCCCGUCGGGCAGUAACCCAGGGAGAAGAUCUGCCCACGGGUUCAACCAAAACACGCAGGUCCCAGACGACGAUGUUUCCGUCGCUGCAGCAGGAGAAGCACACCUUGUUGUCGGGCGAGAUGGCCAGAGCGUAGCAGGCGGGCGCCGACGACGUCAGCUCGGCUUUGAUGCGAGGGGUGGGCGUGGCCAGGUCCCAGAUGGACAGCGUGCUGGCCUCGCCGCCCACGAUCAGCGUGCGGCCGUCGGGUAGGAUCUUACAGGAGCGGAUGUAGUUGUCGCGGUUCUGCUGGGACCAGAGAAGGACAAAACUAUGACGUGACGCGUGGACGUGCUGAUAGGUGACGGCGCACACCACCUCGCCGUGGCUCAGGCUGUGGAUCUGCCGGGCGUGGCGAGGGAUGCCCGGGCCCAGCAGGGCGUCGGGGGGAAAGGGCACCGGCUGCAUCUGUCCGUCUGCGCUCACGUGGAACGAGUAAGCCCUGUAUGUGACAAACAGCCAGGAGGCGUUGAUGGACUAUGAAACGCUGUAAUAGAGUCAGUAUUUGCAGCAAUAUUAAUUAAUCCAGAAAUAUUAAAUUCAAGAGCCUGCAGGUUUUUGCACUAGCACGUACACACAUCAGUGACAUGUUGUUGCAGUGGGCAGCAUAAUGGCACAAUGCUUCACAAUGCGGAGUCAAGGUGACAGCGCUAAUGGAGGAUCGAUACUGAAGCAGGUGCUCGUCUGGGGCAAGUGACGUGAAUCACGACCGAAAAAUUAGAAAAAAAACGAGAAAGACGUUUGUUGGGAAACACCAUUGGCUGUCUUUCAAGUUGAUUCCUUGCAAGUAAUUAGGAAGCGCAUAUGCAUGUAAUGUAUUAUGCAGUGGUACCUUGACUUACAAGUAGAAUUUGUUUGGUGACCAUGCUCUCUAUUGAAAUUUAUGCAAAUGCCACUCAUCUGUUACAGUCCGCCUAAAAUCACCAACAAAUCAUUGUAUUAUGUCUUUUAAUUAAAAAGACACUAGUAUUGUACCAUAUAAAAACAUACAGUAAUAAGUUAUAGCAUAAUCACAUAACAGUUUGUGUUAUCUUAUAUAACAUGUUUUGCUUCAGUUCAAUAGACUUUGUACUGCUCCUUCUGCUGUGUGCGCAUUCACCACCAGGGGGAAGUAUAAUACAGUCACAAAGACACAAACAAAGAAGACUUUCACAACUAC